CUGGAUGGCUUUAUAACACUUCUGCCGCUACUUCAGUUUGACAUUUCACUCAUGCAGACAACAUGCUGCUGCUUACCUUUCUUGUUGCAACUUCAUUUUGGUCCCGUGGAGAUGCACAGGCUGUACCAAUGCAAAGCCCAGCAGAGCACAGGCUGGUGGAGGGCAGCUCAGUCACCAUGACAUGCCAGCUGAGUAGUGGCACCGUUGUGCACUGGUACAGGCAGCUUCCUGGGGAGCCACCCAAGAGGAUACUGUACAUGACUGGAAACUCACCUACCUUUGAU
rnacentral:lncRNA from 1 species